GACGAACGCUGGCGGCGUGCCUAAUACAUGCAAGUCGAACGCAGUUGCGAACGGGUGAGUAACGCGUAGGUAACUGCCUCAUAGCGGGGGAUAACUAUUGGAAACGAUAGCUAAUACCGCAUCCUGUGAGAUGGACCUUCGUUUUAUUAGCUAGUUCGUGAGGUAAAGGGUCACCAAGGCGAAGAUACAUAGCCGGCCUGAGAGGGUGAAUGGCCAAACAGGGGAGUGGAAACGGCCCAGAAUCCUACCGGGAGCAACCGGAGGGAAUCUUCGGCAAAUGGAGGAAAGAUGGCCGAGGAAAGGCGGGUGAGUGGAGAAGGGUUUCGGAUCGGAAAGAUCUGUUGUUAGAGGAGCGGUAACUAACCAGAAAGGGACGGCUAACUACGUGCCAGCAGCCGCGGUAAUUC
rnacentral:rRNA from 1 species